rnacentral:tRNA from 1 species
CUGAGAUGAGCUCAGCUGGUUAGAGCAUGGUGCUAAUAACACCAAGGUUGUGGGUUUGAUCCCUUCACUUAAGA